CCCAUCCCAGCGUCGCAUCUGGAGAGUUUCCAGUACUCUAUCGGUCUCGACUACGGGAGGGAGAGUCAAGCAGAGGCAUACCCAUUCCAUUCUUAGCUUGGACAGUGGCUAGAGAAUGGAAGGCAAUCUGUUGCAAAC